rnacentral:rRNA from 1 species
WGGUGGUGCAUGGCCGUUYUUAGUUCGUGGGGUGACUUGUCAGGUUAAUUCCGUUAACGAACGAGACCUCACCUAUCUAACUAGCUGUCGCUAACUCGUUAGCGUUCGGUUUCCCGAGUUCAGCUUCUUAGAAGGACAAUCUGUGUUCAACAGAUGGAGGAUUGAGGCAAUAACAGGUCAGUGAUGCCCUUAGAUGCUCUGGGCUGCACGCGCGCUACAAUGACGCACUCAACGAGUUCAACCCAGCUCGACAGAGAGGGGUAAUCUUGAAAGUGCGUCAAAGUUGGAAUARAUGAUUGCAAUUGU